GUAAGAUGGCUGAAUUGAGGCGGUGGUUUGUAAUUCCAUUUAUGGGUAGUUAAUCCCUCUUAUCA
rnacentral:tRNA from 1 species